GACGAACGCUGGCGGCGUGCUUAACACAUGCAAGUCGAACGAUGAUGCCCAGCUUGCUGGGUGGAUUAGUGGCGAACGGGUGAGUAACACGCGAGUAACCUGCCCCUGACUCUGGGAUAAGCGUUGGAAACGACGUCUAAUACUGGAUAUGACUGCCGGCCGCAUGGUCUGGUGGUGGAAAGAUUUUUUGGUUGGGGAUGGACUCGCGGCCUAUCAGCUUGUUGGUGAGGUAAUGGCUCACCAAGGCGACGACGGGUAGCCGGCCUGAGAGGGUGACCGGCCACACUGGGACUGAGACACGGCCCAGACUCCUACGGGAGGCAGCAGUGGGGAAUAUUGCACAAUGGGCGAAAGCCUGAUGCAGCAACGCCGCGUGAGGGAUGACGGCCUUCGGGUUGUAAACCUCUUUUAGUAGGGAAGAAGGGAGCUUGCUCUUGACGGUACCUGCAGAAAAAGCACCGGCUAACUACGUGCCAGCAGCCGCGGUAAUACGUAGGGUGCAAGCGUUGUCCGGAAUUAUUGGGCGUAAAGAGCUCGUAGGCGGUUUGUCGCGUCUGCUGUGAAAUCCCGAGGCUCAACCUCGGGCUUGCAGUGGGUACGGGCAGACUAGAGUGCGGUAGGGGAGAUUGGAAUUCCUGGUGUAGCGGUGGAAUGCGCAGAUAUCAGGAGGAACACCGAUGGCGAAGGCAGAUCUCUGGGCCGUAACUGACGCUGAGGAGCGAAAGCAUGGGGAGCGAACAGGAUUAGAUACCCUGGUAGUCCAUGCCGUAAACGUUGGGCGCUAGAUGUAGGGACCUUUCCACGGUUUCUGUGUCGUAGCUAACGCAUUAAGCGCCCCGCCUGGGGAGUACGGCCGCAAGGCUAAAACUCAAAGGAAUUGACGGGGGCCCGCACAAGCGGCGGAGCAUGCGGAUUAAUUCGAUGCAACGCGAAGAACCUUACCAAGGCUUGACAUACACCGGAAACGGCCAGAGAUGGUCGCCCCCUUGUGGUCGGUGUACAGGUGGUGCAUGGUUGUCGUCAGCUCGUGUCGUGAGAUGUUGGGUUAAGUCCCGCAACGAGCGCAACCCUCGUUCUAUGUUGCCAGCGCGUUAUGGCGGGGACUCAUAGGAGACUGCCGGGGUCAACUCGGAGGAAGGUGGGGAUGACGUCAAAUCAUCAUGCCCCUUAUGUCUUGGGCUUCACGCAUGCUACAAUGGCCGGUACAAAGGGCUGCGAUACCGUAAGGUGGAGCGAAUCCCAAAAAGCCGGUCUCAGUUCGGAUUGAGGUCUGCAACUCGACCUCAUGAAGUCGGAGUCGCUAGUAAUCGCAGAUCAGCAACGCUGCGGUGAAUACGUUCCCGGGCCU
rnacentral:rRNA from 1 species